rnacentral:rRNA from 1 species
AUGCCCGUUGCCCGGGGACAACCGGUGGAAACGCCGACUAAUCCCCGAUGGGAUACGAUGCUUCAUGGCAUUGUAUUGAAAGUUACGGCGGCGACGGAUUGGCUCGCGUCCGAUUAGCUUGUUGGCGGGGUAACGGCCCACCAAGGCUACGAUCGGUAGGGGUUCUGAGAGGAAGGCCCCCCACAAUGGGACUGAGACACGGCCCAUACUCCUACGGGAGGCAGCAGUGAGGAAUAUUGGUCAAUGGGCGGAAGCCUGAACCAGCCAUGCCGCGUGCGGGAAGGAGGCCCUAUGGGCUGUGAACCGCUUUUGCCUGGGGGCAAUAAGGGCGUCGCGCACGUCCGAUGAGAGUACCAGGCGAAUAAGCAUCGGCUAACUCCGUGCCAGCAGCCGCGGUAAUACGGGGGAUGCGAGCGUUAUCCGGAUUCAUUGGGUUUAAAGGGUGCGUAGGCUGUGCGUCAAGUCGGGGGUGAAAUUCCGGUGCUCAACACCGGGGCUGCCCUUGAUACUGUCGCGCUGGAGUGCGGAUGCCGCCGGAGGAAUGAGUGGUGUAGCGGUGAAAUGCUUAGAUAUCACUCAGAACACCGAUUGCGAAGGCAUCUGGCGAAUCCGUAACUGACGCUGAGGCACGAAAGCGUGGGGAUAGAACAGGAUUAGAUACCCUGGUAUUCCACGCCGUAAACGAUGAUGGCUAACCGCCGGCGACACACUGUCGGUGGCCAAGCGAAAGCGAUAAGCCAUCCACCUGGGGAGUA